AUAAAUUAGCAUCGUCGCUUAGCGCAACGAAGAGUACUCUUUAAAAUAUUUCAUUUAAAAUAUGCUUGAAUCCACGCAAAGCGAUGUAAACUUGUCAAAAAGAACACAUAUUUUCUCUGACUACGACGAAACGCAAGAAGAAAGUAAAUACGACAUGUCAGACUCAAAUAUUAAGAAGGUGGAAAAAAAUUCGUGUGAAAAAUUAUCAACUGACGAACAACCAUCAGGAAUUUUGGGAAAGUUAUCGGGUACUGUUUACAACACAACCAUGUUUGCUGCAGGAACUGCGUAUGGUGGUGUCACGUGGGUUGCCGGGGGUGUUCUGUCAACCACUGGCUCUGCUAUAGGAGCGACUUAUAACACUGUGACAUCAUUGUCACCAUUGACAAUAUUUAAGAAAGAAAGCAAAAGUAAAUCGGAAUAAGAUUUAUUAAUUUUCACGUUGUAAUUUUACUGUAUGAAGAACAGGUCAAUUUUCAGCUACUCUAUUACAUAUUUCAUAUUUGUCAAUUUUUCUUCAAUGGAUUUCUUUUAGGCUUUCUUAAUAGAAUUUUUUCCAUGAAUUUACGACGCUUGCAUACUAGUUUAUAUAUAAAUGUAAGAUUGGCGAUUUUGUUUAUAUAGAAAUGAUUAGGAGAAAAAAAUCUUUAUUCAAUUAAUUGAAUUAUUAUUCAGUUUUAACA